CAUCUGUUGAGCAGGGUGGUUUUCUAUAGAAGAUUGGAUCCUGGUUCCUUUAAGGCAGCCAGAUCUGCAACAGACUGAACUUUGAGGGGAAAACCUACUUUAUUAGAUGAGAAAGAUGCUGUCACGCAAGGAAUUUCUUCAUUUUGGAGUUUCCAUUUCAGAAAGGGAUUUGGAGCAAUCAAAUUUUUGAAGUGCUCCUCUGCGGCUCCACUCCAGCUCCAAGCAAAAACCUACUGGUCCGUGCUCUUGCUCCGGGCUCCACUCCAAAGCCCUGAUAUUUUACCUAAAACAGUGUGGUUUUGGUUGAAGUGCUUGAGGAAUCUCGGCUCAAGUUAACAAGGGCUGUUGCAUGUCCACUACCCUUUGUUGGCGUGGCAAACUAAUUAAUGAGCGUGUACUGUCCAAGGGAGUCUUGAGCAGCCUAAGACAGCAUAUUUCUGGGAUUCAAAGCUGGUGCCUCUCUCUGUAUAAUUCAUGAGUGACUUGAAGAGCCCUUAUGUAAUUUAGUGGUGGGUGGGGCUCCACAUAUUGAUGGCUGAGCGAUCACAUCGCCUGGAGGGGUUUUUGCUGCUUGUCACUGGCCUAGCCUUGUGAGAGACAGCCCAGGCUGGAGAGUUAAAGGGGGACAGUGGUCCCACCCUUCCAGCUCAUACCCCAGGAUUCCAUCUCAGAGUCCAAAGCCCCAUGAAGAGUCAAGUGAUAAUCAAAGCCAGGGGCAGCAUCACCAAAGGUCAAGCUGGAGUCAGUAACUGGAGUUAGGGCGAGGAACAGGGUGUGAUAGCAGGAACAAGACCCAAGCAAUGAGGCAGGAACUUGGUUUCAGGAGCCCUGUCAGCAAUAGCAACCAGUUGCUUAGAU